rnacentral:rRNA from 1 species
GAAUAUGGGACAAUGGGGUCAACCCUGAUCCAGCUAUCCCGCGUGUGUGAAGUAGGUCUUCGUAUAGUAAAGCUCUUUAAGUUGGGAGUAAGGGCCUUAGGCUCAUACCCCGAAGUCUUGACGUUACCAACAGAAGUAUCUCCGGCUAACCCUGUUCCAGCAGCCGCGGUAAUACAGAGGGUGCAAGCGUUAAUCGGAAUUACUGGGCGUAAAGCGCGCAUAGGUGGUUCAGUAAGAUGGGUGUGAAAUCCCCGGGCUUAACCUGGGAACUGCUUUCAUAACUGCUGAGCUAGAGUACGGUAGAGGGUAGUGGAAUUUCCUGUGUAGCGGUGAAAUGCGUAGAUAUAGGAAGGAACACCAGUGGCGAAGGCGACUACCUGGACUGAUACUGACACUGAGGUGCGAAAGCGUGGGGAGCAAAC